rnacentral:misc_RNA from 1 species
GAUGAAGAACGUAGUGAAAUGCGAUAAGUAAUGUGAAUUGCAGAAUUCAGUGAAUCAUCGAAUCUUUGAACGCACAUUGCGCCCGCCAGUAUUCUGGCGGGCAUGCCUGUUCGAGCGUCAUUUCAACCCUCAAGACCCCUUCGGGGGACUUGGUGUUGGGGACCGGCACAGGGGCCUGCCUGCUUGUCUUGCAGCGCCCUCGCCGCCCCCGAAAUGAAUUGGCGGCCUCGUCGCGGCCUCCCCUGCGUAGUAGCACAAACCUCGCAACGGGAACGUGACGGCGGCCACUGCCGUAAAACAACCCAAUUUUAUUAGAGUUGACCUCGAAUCAGGUAGGAAUACCCGCUGAACUUAAGCAUAUCAUAAGCGGAGGA